rnacentral:rRNA from 1 species
UUAGAACGUCGUGAGACAGUUCGGUCCCUAUCUGCCGUGGGCGCUGGAGAACUGAGGGGGGCUGCUCCUAGUACGAGAGGACCGGGGUGGACGCAUCACUGGUGUUCGGGUUGUCAUGCCAAUGGCACUGCCCGGUAGCUAAAUGCGGAAGAGAUAAGUGCUGAAAGCAUCUAAGCACGAAACUUGCCCCGAGAUGAGUUCUCCCUGACUCCUUGAGAGUCCUGAAGGAACGUUGAAGACGACGACGUUGAUAGGCCGGGUGUGUAAGCGCAGCGAUGCGUUGAGCUAACCGGUACUAAUGAACCGUGAGGCUUAACCUUACAACGCCGAAGCUGUU